CGCUGACCAAGUGCCAGGCCUCACUGAAGCUGACCUCCGCGUUAACCCUGGACACAAGCCGAGCAGGAAGGAUAAUGCCGGCUUGACAACUCCACUGGUUUCUGCUCCCACUGGCCCUACCUCUGUUAGAGGUGUUCGCCAGGCACCCCAUGCGGUCACCAGCAGACAGCCGCUUUCUGCACAAGUUCCAAGAUGGACUCACAGCAGUCCCCGCCAGCCAUGACGCUGAGAUGGGUGUACACCCAGCUCUGGAGGAACCCAACCGCCUGUGGUCUCUCCACAACGGCUGCAAAAUACUGCUUCAGUUUUGAUUCUUUCAUGGAGGAAGACGUAACUUCAAGUUAAAAGCAGCAGGCGCACCGCUCACCCCUGGACGCUGAGGCUAGACACUGGGUGGAAACCGGUUCCUUCCGGCCCCCGGGCCCUGCACCAGAGCUCGACCCCCACCGCCUCACCUGUCCUGAUGGCGUCCUCCAGCCUGGGGUUUCUCUCUCCCUGGAGAAGCUGGUGGUAGUAGCCGGGAUUCUGGUCCAUCUGCGCCUGGGCCCCACUCAGCACCAUCCAGACGCGGGCACGGUGCUCCAGCGGGACCCCUUUCCGGACAUAGCGCUUCACUGAAGGCCGAGAGGACGGACAGCGUGUGAGCUGGACCAGGGGCCUGCGGGGCCCACGCGUUCCUGCCACACUUUCCACUCUCACCAGUUCUCUUCUUAAAUCAAAUAUUAAAGAGACCCAGAACUUCGUCCAUCUCCACCAAAACUGGUACAUAUACUCCUUUAAAAAUUCUGCUCUCCUCUCCCUCUCAACAGAGCACAAACCAGACUGGCUACAGAACCGCCCCCACGCCCACUUCACCAUUCAAUGCAGGUGGUCAAGAAACAGAGCCGCGGUCAGAUGGCUGCUCUGCAAAGCUUCCUGGCAGCCGUGCAGAGCAGCAGCAAAGGGGCAAAGCAGUGAGAGGCCCAGCUGAGUACAAGGAGGCCGGCUGGGCUCAGCUGUGAGCACCUCAGGUGGGACGCCACAGCUGGGAGAACACGGUUUCAGUGGCAGACGUCACUGUCCAACUCGUGCAGUUAAUCUCUAUAUAUUGAAAGCUACUCCAUUUUGUAGGGAUAUUUUAAUUGACAAUAAAAAUGUGAAAAAGUAAUUAGUAAUUUUAAUGGCCACAGAAACAUAUAGGGACAGAAAGAAGCCAAAAGCCAUGAGCUAUCUUCAUUAGUCAAUACUGAGUAAUUUCUUAGGCAGAUGGAAAAGAUUCUCCGCUGUAACCAACCUCCAGGUCACAGCCACAGGACUUCCCACGGACUUCCCCUGCUCUUAAAGCAAACUGCAGAACCAAGCGUGGACUUCUGCUCCUGAGGGGGACGGAAGGACAGUCCCCUGCGGUCAUCUCUAUAGGAGAUGGGGGCCAUGGGUGGGAGAGAAACUCCCUGUUGCACUUUGUAGCCCUCAGUAUGAUUAAAGUGUUUACCAUGUACAUAAAUUAUGCUUUUUAAGUUCACAUGUCUUAUAUACUUUUACGUUACUUUUUAAAAUUAAAAGACAGUUAACUUUUAAGAAUAAA
rnacentral:lncRNA from 1 species